rnacentral:misc_RNA from 1 species
GAAAUGCGAUAAGUAAUGUGAAUUGCAGAAUCAGUGAGUCAUCGAAUCUUUGAACGCACAUUGCGCCUCUCGGUAUGCCGGGAGGCACGCCUGUUCGAGCGCCAUUACACACUCCAAGCGAAGCUUGAUGUUGGACGAAGCGGUCUCUUCGGGCAUCGCUCGUCUGGAACGUGUGGGCGCCCGCCGCCGGACCACGAGCGUAGCAAGACUAUUGUCAAUUCGUUCUGUGGGUUCCGACGGGGGGUUGGCCUCAUUCUCUUCUGUCUCAGAAAGUUUGGCCUCGGAUCAGGCGGGGAUACCCGCUGAACUUAA